CCAAGAUGAAGGAUUUUCUCAUCGCCUGCUUUCUCUUAGCUACCGUCGUCUUCUCUCCCCUAUCCACUUGCAGUGCUCGAGAAUUGGCCGAGCGAGCUAUAAACAGCCCAGGUCUUGACCCCGGCAAAGUUCCAUUCAAUUGCGGUAGGGGUGAGCGAUACUGCGUACCUAGCCAACCACCAACAUCAACACCAUGUCUUCCUUACAGGCGUGAUUGUGGGCGGCGCCUUUAAGCUUAGAAGCAAGCAAAGUUGAGUACUGCUUAAAACUACGGAGAGCUUCGGCUGUCUUUAUAAACGAUGAGAACUAUUUUUGUGAGAAAAAUAAAUAAAGUUCUCCAGUGGAUUAGAAGAAGCAAGCAAAGUUGAGUACUGCUUAAAACUAUGGAGAGCUUCGGCUGUCUUUAUCAAUAUGUAAAACGAUGAGAACUAUUUUUGUGAGAAAAAUAAAUAAAGUUCUCCAGUGGAUUAGAAGAA